rnacentral:miRNA from 1 species
CGCUCGCCUCAGCCUCCCAAAGUGCUGGGAUUACAGGCGUGAGCCACUGCGCCCGGCCUGGCCUCGUUCAGUUUAUCCACAGCACUGCGGUU